AGAGAGGAAGCGGCAUAUGCAAAGAUCAGAUGGAUCAUGGCUCCUUCAAGGAAGUGAAACUCUACCGUGUGGACUGUGUGGUAUGAGGAGUAUGACAGGGAAGGAGAUGGUAGAGAUGGCAGAGAAGGAGCUGGGGGCAGGUCACGAAGGAGCUUGAAGGCCAAGUUAAGGAUGAUGGAGUGCUCAUGAGGGAGAAUCCAUAUCAGCCUGGCCAUGCAGGGGAGGCCUCAGAAAGCCCUGGGAAGCCAGAGCAGUAAGACAGAAAAAGGAAGCCGUUCCUGCCGAUGAAGGGUGAGAAACCUGGAGCCUUCCCUCCCUGCACGCUACGUGGCAGAUACCUCAGGGAAAGCUGGGUCUCAGGAGAACACGCCGAUCCCGUUAACACACAGUCUUCCUAUGAAACCAUGUGGGAACUCAACACGUGCUGUCUCCUCUCUAACCUGAGAUCCUGGCCCGUUCCACAAAGCGAGGCAGUCUCUUGUAUACCCCUCACCAGCCAAGUACUGGGAUGGUGGCCAAAGGGGAGAGACAGGCCAGGGUGUGGGUGGGCCAAAGAAAUCUGAGAGGGACAGGAGCUGUGGUGGCCCGGUCUCUAAACCUGCAGAGGCUCCCUUCCAGAGAGAGAGCUUGGAACUCAGUCUCUGCCUCCCUCCUUCUCUCCCUCCCUCCAGCAGAACUGC